rnacentral:rRNA from 1 species
AAUCGAACCCGGAGAUAGCUGGUUCUCCCCGAAAUAGUUUUAGGACUAGCCUCAAGUUAGAUACCUGGAGGUAAAGCACUGAAUAGCCUAGCGGCCGAGAGGUUAGCGAAGCUUAUCAAACUCAGAAUGCCAGAGUAUUGAUGCUUGGGAGUCAGACAGUGUCAGAUAAAUGUCAUUGUCAAAAGGGAAACAGCCCAGAUCUACAGCUAAGGUCCCAAAGUCAGGUUAAGUGGAAAACGAUGUGAAGAUACGCAGACAACCAGGAUGUUGGCUCAGAAGCAGCCACUCAUUCAAAGAGUGCGUAAUAGCUCACUGGUCGAGCGUCUUUGCGCGGAGAAUUUAACGGGGCUAAACCUGACACCGAAGCUUAGGCAAUCCAGUAAUGGAUUGGGUAGGGGAGCGUUGUAUACGCGGAGAAACAGUAGCGUAAGCGGCUGUGGAGUGUAUAGAAGUGAGAAUGCCGGAAUGAGUAGCGCGAAUGCAGUGAGAAUCUGCAUGGCCGAAAGCCUCAGGUUUUUGGAGGAAGGUUCGUCCGCUCCAAGUUAGUCGGGAGCUAAGGUGAGGCCGGAAGGCGUAGCCGAUGCACAGACGGUAGAGAUUCCGUCACCACCAAAAGAGUUAAGCACAGGGACACAUUUGAAGUCUCAGAGCCGGGUGUUGGUUCCGGUAGAGAUCGAGGGAAAUUAGUACCGAAGUCUGAGAUGGAAGAUGGCGAGAAAAGCUGUGUGUAUUUCUGAGGUGCCCGUACCGCAAACCGACACAGGUAGGUAGGAAGAAGAUUCUAAGGCCAACGGGAGAAGGGUUGUUAAGGAACUCGGCAAAUUGACCCCGUAACUUCGGGAGAAGGGGUGCUCCAGAGAUGGAGCCGCAGAGAAUCGGCCCAAGCAACUGUUUACCAAAAACACAGGUUUGUGCUAAAUCGAAAGAUGACGUAUACGAGCUGACGCCUGCCCGGUGCUGGAAGGUUAAGAGGAGAUGUGCAAGCAUUGAAUCGAAGCCCCAGUGAACGGCGGCCGUAACUAUAACGGUCCUAAGGUAGCGAAAUUCCUUGUCAGGUAAGUUCUGACCCGCAUGAAAGGCGUAAUGAUUUGGGCACUGUCUCAACAGCCCGCCCGGCGAAAUUGUAGUACCGGUGAAGAUGCCGGUUACCCGCGACAAGACGGAAAGACCCCAUGGAGCUUUACUGUAGCCUAAUAUUGGGUUUCGAUGUUGCAUGCACAGGAUAGAUGGGACACUGGGAAACAGGAGCUUUGGCUUCUGCGGAGUGGCCGUUGGGAUACCAUCCUUGCGAUAUUGGAAUUCUAACCUGCGGCUCUGAAUCGAGUCGGGGGACAUUGUUAGGUGGGCAGUUUGACUGGGGCGGUCGCCUCCUAAAAAGUAACGGAGGCGUUCAAAGGUUCGCUCAGCUUGAACGGAAAUCAAGCAAAAGAGUGCAAACGCAGAAGCGAGCCUAACUGCGAGACUGACGGGUCGAGCAGUAACGAAAGUUGGAGUUAGUGAUCCGGUGGUAUGUGAGUGGAAAUGCCAUCGCUCAACGGAUAAAAGUUACCCUGGGGAUAACAGGCUGAUCUCCCCCAAGAGUCCACAUCGACGGGGAGGUUUGGCACCUCGAUGUCGGCUCAUCGCAUCCUGGGGCUGUAUUCGGUCCCAAGGGUUUGGCUGUUCGCCAAUUAAAGCGGUACGCGAGCUGGGUUCAGAACGUCGUGAGACAGUUCGGUCCCUAUCUGUCGUGGGCGCAGGAUAUUUGAUGGGAGCUGUCCCUAGUACGAGAGGACCGGGACGGACGUACCUCUGGCGCACCAGUUGUUCCGCCAGGAGCAUAGCUGGGCAACUACGUACGGAUCGGAUAAACGCUGAAAGCAUCUAAGCGUGAAGCCGACCCAAAGAUAAGAUAUCCCAUUGU